rnacentral:rRNA from 1 species
AUUGAACGCUGGCGGCAGGCCUAACACAUGCAAGUCGAGCGGAUGCAGGGAGCUUGCUCCUGGAUUCAGCGGCGGACGGGUGAGUAAUGCCUAGGAAUCUGCCUGGUAGUGGGGGAUAACGUCCGGAAACGGGCGCUAAUACCGCAUACGUCCUGAGGGAGAAAGUGGGGGAUCUUAGGACCUCACGCUAUCAGCUGAGCCUAGGUCGGAUUAGCUAGUUGGUGGGGUAAAGGCCUACCAAGGCGACGAUCCGUAACUGGUCUGAGAGGAUGAUCAGUCACACUAGAACUGAGACACGGUCCAGACUCCUACGGGAGGCAGCAGUGGGGAAUAUUGGACUAUGGGCGAAAGCCUGAUCCAGCCCUGCCGCGUGUGUGAAGAAGGCCUUCGGAUUGUAAAGCACUUUAAGUUGGGAGGAAGGGCAGUAAGUUAAUACCUUGCUGUUUUGACGUUACCAACAGAAUAAGCACCGGCUAACUUCGUG